rnacentral:rRNA from 1 species
GAUGAACGCUGGCGGCGCGCCUAACACAUGCAAGUCGAACGGCACCCCUCCUCGGAGGGAAGCGAGUGGCGAACGGCUGAGUAACACGUGGAGAACCUGCCCCCUCCCCCGGGAUAGCCGCCCGAAAGGACGGGUAAUACCGGAUACCCCGGGGUGCCGCAUGGCACCCCGGCUAAAGCCCCGACGGGAGGGGAUGGCUCCGCGGCCCAUCAGGUAGACGGCGGGGUGACGGCCCACCGUGCCGACAACGGGUAGCCGGGUUGAGAGACCGACCGGCCAGAUUGGGACUGAGACACGGCCCAGACACCUACGGGAGGCAGCAGUGGGGAAGCUUGCGCAAUGGGGGGAACCCUGACGCAGCGACGCCGCGUGCGGGACGGAGGCCUUCGGGUCGUAAACCGCUUUCAGCAGGGAAGAGUCAAGACUGUACCUGCAGAAGAAGCCCCGGCUAACUACGUG